rnacentral:rRNA from 1 species
UACGGAGGGUGCAAGCGUUAUCCGGAUUCACUGGGUUUAAAGGGUGCGUAGGUGGGUUGGUAAGUCAGUGGUGAAAUCUCCGGGCUUAACCUGGAAACUGCCAUUGAUACUAUCAAUCUUGAAUACCUUGGAGGUGAGCGGAAUAUGUCAUGUAGCGGUGAAAUGCUUAGAUAUGACAUAGAACACCAAUUGCGAAGGCAGCUCACUACACGGUCAUUGACACUGAGCACGAAGCGUGGGAGUCAAACAGG